rnacentral:rRNA from 1 species
GUGGGGAAUCUUCCGCAAUGGACGAAAGUCUGACGGAGCAACGCCGCGUGAGUGAUGAAGGUCUUCGGAUUGUAAAGCUCUGUUAAUCGGGACGAAAGAGCCUAGUGUGAAUAAUGCUAGGAAGUGACGGUACCGGAAUAGAAAGCCACGGCUAACUACGUGCCAGCAGCCGCGGUAAUACGUAGGUGGCAAGCGUUGUCCGGAAUUAUUGGGCGUAAAGCGCGCGCAGGCGGAUCUGCCAGUCUGUCUUAAAAGUUGGGGGCUUAACCCCGUGAUGGGAUGGAAACUACAGAUCUAGAGUGUCGGAGAGGAAAGUGGAAUUCCUAGUGUAGCGGUGAAAUGCGUAGAUAUUAGGAAGAACACCAGUGGCGAAGGCGACUUUCUGGACGAAAACUGACGCUGAGGCGCGAAAGCCAGGGGAGCGAACGGGAUUAGAUACCCGAGUAGUCC